GACGAACGCUGGCGGCGUGCCUAAUACAUGCAAGUCGAACGAUCAGGCGAGGAGCUUGCUCUUCUUGGGUGAGCUGCGGACGGGUGAGUAACGCGUAGAUAACCUACCUGUAAGCGGGGGAUAACUAUGGGAAACCAGAGCUAAUACCGCAUAAUAUAUUGUAUUGCAUGGUAAUUAAUUGAAAGAUGCUACUGCAUUACUACAAAGAGGAACCGCGUCGUCUUAGCUAGGUGGUGAGGUAAAGGCUUACCAAGGCCACGAUGCGUAGCCGACCUGAGGGGGUAGUCGGCCACACGGGAACGGAGACAGGGUCCAGACUCCUACGGGGGGAAGCAGAGGGGAAUCUUCGGCAAAGGGGGAAAGCCUGACGGGGCACCGCGGCGGAAGGGAUGAGGGUCUUGGGACCGUAAAACUCUGUUAUUAGGAAGGAAGGAAUGUGUAGGGAACUGUGCACAUCUUGACGGUACCUGAUCAGAAAGCCACGGCUAACUACGUG
rnacentral:rRNA from 1 species